GGUGUUAAGAGAGGGUUUAAGUUUGGAUAUAAGAAGGCUUUCAUGAAUCAUAAAGUCAUAAUUGUCAGCUUUUUACUUUACUAAAGGAAGCCUUUUUUUAUUAGAACGUAAAUGCUUCUUUCGCAAAACUGUGCAAGUGUUGAGAUUUCCAAGCACGUAGAGAACCCAUUCACCUUCACUAUUGUGAAAUGAUAAUAAAUGCAUUUACGAUAUUAGUUGUAAAUACAUUUUAUUAUGUUAUAUGAACCAUACCAAAGAGAGCAAAGAUAAAUCCCAUUUCACCACCAACCUAUGUUGUCAUGACAACAACAAUGAAUCGAGAAGAAGGUUUAAAAGCUUUGGAAACAUCUAUUAAAGCCAUUGAAAAAGUCAUUAUGAACAAGAAAGGAACAUUUGUUUUACAACAAGCUAUCGUUCAGGUUGGCAUACUCCUGAGAAGGACU